UACGUAGGGUGCAGGCGUUAAUCGGAAUUACUGGGCGUAAAGCGUGCGCAGGCGGCUUCCUAAGUCAGAUGUGAAAUCCCCGGGCUCAACCUGGGAACUGCGUUUGAAACCGGGAGGCUAGAGUGCGGCAGAGGGGGGUGGAAUUCCACGUGUAGCAGUGAAAUGCGUAGAUAUGUGGAGGAACACCGAUGGCGAAGGCAGCCCCCUGGGCCAGCACUGACGCUCAUGCACGAAAGCGUGGGGAGCAAACAGG
rnacentral:rRNA from 1 species